AAUCUUUUUUUUGCCCUCUUGUCGGCAUAUAUAAGAGGUGCCGGUUUCGAUCGGCUAUGGCGAUAAAUGGGCGUUGUAAUAAACCCAUCGGACCCGGGGGCAGUACCCGGCGCCUCCACCAUAUACUGCUUACCGCCAAACGCGAUGCGGCGGUAUUUGAUGGGGGCGAACCAGGAUCGACGAGGGCGUAAAGAACGUACUUUCGCUCGGCAUGGUACCACCGUUAUCGGACCAACAUAAUAGUUGCAAACGACAACUAUGCUGAGGCACGUCUCGCUGCGUAACGCAGUGCGACAGUCUCGAAUUUAAGCCCUAAUCUUUUGCAAGGUUAGGCGCGGUUCCGGAGGGCACCGGGCAACAGAAGCCCUCCACU
rnacentral:tmRNA from 1 species